CAGUAGCCGCGGUAAUACGAACCGUGCGAACGUUAUUCGGAAUCACUGGGCUUAAAGCGCGUGUAGGCGGAUGGGGACGUCGGUAGCUGAAAGCCCCCGGCUCAACCGGGGAAGUGGCGCCGAAACGCCCCGUCUGGAGGGACGUAGGGGGACCUGGAACUUCCGGCGGAGCGGUGAAAUGCGUUGAGAUCGGAAGGAACGCCUGUGGCGAAAGCGAGGCCCUGGACCCUUUCUGACGCUGAGACGCGAAAGCCAGGGGAGCGAACGGGAUUAGAUACCCCCGUAGUCCCUGUCUCUUAUA
rnacentral:rRNA from 1 species